CUUUUGCUGAUGGGUUGCGUUAGGGAUUGCAGCGGCAUCCUUUUUUGAGGUUACGAGAAAAAGAUAUAGAGGAAAGCCCGACCGCGC
rnacentral:sRNA from 1 species